GAUGAACGCUGGCGGCGUGCCUAAUACAUGCAAGUCGAGCGAAUGGAUUAAGAGCUUGCUCUUAUGAAGUUAGCGGCGGACGGGUGAGUAACACGUGGGUAACCUGCCCAUAAGACUGGGAUAACUCCGGGAAACCGGGGCUAAUACCGGAUAACAUUUUGAACCGCAUGGUUCGAAAUUGAAAGGCGGCUUCGGCUGUCACUUAUGGAUGGACCCGCGUCGCAUUAGCUAGUUGGUGAGGUAACGGCUCACCAAGGCAACGAUGCGUAGCCGACCUGAGGGGGUGGUCGGCCACACUGGGACUGAGACACGGCCCAGACUCCUACGAGAGGCAGCAGUAGGGAAUCUUCCGCAAUGGACGAAAGUCUGACGGAGCAACGCCGCGUGAGUGAUGAAGGCUUUCGGGUCGUAAAACUCUGUUGUUAGGGAAGAACAAGUGCUAGUUGAAUAAGCUGGCACCUUGACGGUACCUAACCAGAAAGCCACGGCUAACUACGUGCCAGCCGCCGCAGUAA
rnacentral:rRNA from 1 species